AGCGAACGUUGGCGGCGUGGAUUAGGCAUGCAAGUCGAACGCGAAUCCCUGGGCAACUGGGGAGGAGAGUGGCGAAAGGGGCAGUAAGGCGUGGGUAACCUACCCUCCGGGCCGGGAUAGCUUCGGGAAACUGAAGGUAAUACCGGGCGACGCAGCGAGAUCGCAUGGUCUUGCUGCCAAAGGUCCGCCGCCGGGGGAGGGGCUCACGUGGUAUUAGCUAGACGGCGGGGUAACGGCCCACCGUGGCAAAGAUGCCUAGCAGGUGUGAGAGCACGACCUGCGCCACUGGCACUGAGACACUGGCCAGACACCUACGGGUGGCUGCAGUCGAGGAUCUUCGGCAAUGGGCGCAAGCCUGACCGAGCGACGCCGCGUGUGCGAUGAAGGCCUUCGGGUUGUAAAGCACUGUCGAGGGGGAGGAAGCCGCAAGGUUGACCUAUCCCUGGAGGAAGCACGGGCUAAGUUCGUG
rnacentral:rRNA from 1 species